rnacentral:rRNA from 1 species
AUGAACGCUGGCGGCGUGCCUAAUACAUGCAAGUCGAACGAAACUUCUUUAUCACCGAGUGCUUGCACUCACCGAUAAAGAGUUGAGUGGCGAACGGGUGAGUAACACGUGGGCAACCUGCCCAAAAGAGGGGGAUAACACUUGGAAACAGGCGCUAAUACCGCAUAACCAUAGUUACCGCAUGGUAACUAUGUAAAAGGUGGCUAUACUACCGCUUUUGGAUGGGCCCGCGGCGCAUUAGCUAGUUGGUAGGGUAAAGGCUUACCAAGGCAAUGAUGCGUAGCCGAAUUGAGAGGUUGAUCGGCCACAUUGGGACUGAGACACGGCCCAAACUCCUACGGGAGGCAGCAGUAGGGAAUCUUCCACAAUGGGCGAAAGCCUGAUGGAGCAACGCCGCGUGGGUGAAGAAGGUCUUCGGAUCGUAAAACCCUGUUGUUAGAGAAGAAAGUGCGUGAGAGUAACUGUUCACGUUUCGACGGUAUCUAACCAGAAAGCCACGGCUAACUACGUG